AGUCGAAACGAUGAUCUCCCGCUUGCGGGGGUGAUUAGUGGCGAACGGGUGAGUAAUACGUGAGUAACCUGCCCUUGACUCUGGGAUAAGCCUGGGAAACCGGGUCUAAUACUGGAUACGACCCCCUGUCGCAUGGUGGGGGGUGGAAAGGGUUUGACUGGUUUUGGAUGGGCUCACGGCCUAUCAGCUUGUUGGUGGGGUAAUGGCUCACCAAGGCGACGACGGGUAGCCGGCCUGAGAGGGUGACCGGCCACACUGGGACUGAGACACGGCCCAGACUCCUACGGGAGGCAGCAGUGGGGAAUAUUGCACAAUGGGCGGAAGCCUGAUGCAGCGACGCCGCGUGAGGGAUGACGGCCUUCGGGUUGUAAACCUCUUUCAGCAGGGAAGAAGCCACAAGUGACGGUACCUGCAGAAGAAGCGCCGGCUAACUACGUGCCAGCAGCCGCGGUAAUACGUAGGGCGCAAGCGUUGUCCGGAAUUAUUGGGCGUAAAGAGCUCGUAGGCGGUUUGUCGCGUCUGCUGUGAAAGCCCGGGGCUCAACCCCGGGUCUGCAGUGGGUACGGGCAGACUAGAGUGCAGUAGGGGAGACUGGAAUUCCUGGUGUAGCGGUGAAAUGCGCAGAUAUCAGGAGGAACACCGAUGGCGAAGGCAGGUCUCCUGGGCUGUUACUGACGCUGAGGAGCGAAUUCAUGUUGAGCG
rnacentral:rRNA from 1 species